AGUGAACGCUGGCGGUAGGCCUAACACAUGCAAGUCGAACGGCAGCACAGUAAGAGCUUGCUCUUACGGGUGGCGAGUGGCGGACGGGUGAGGAAUACAUCGGAGUCUACUUUUUCGUAGGGGAUAACGUAGGGAAACUUACGCUAAUACCGCAUACGACCUACGGGUGAAAGCAGGGGAUCUUCGGACCUUGCGCGAUUGAAUGAGCCGAUGUCGGAUUAGCUAGUUGGCGGGGUAAAGGCCCACCAAGGCGACGAUCCGUAGCUGGUCUGAGAGGAUGAUCAGCCACACUGGAACUGAGACACGGUCCAGACUCCUACGGGAGGCAGCAGUGGGGAAUAUUGGACAAUGGGCGCAAGCCUGAUCCAGCCAUACCGCGUGGGUGAAGAAGGCCUUCGGGUUGUAAAGCCCUUUUGUUGGGAAAGAAAAGCAGCAGGUUAAUACCCCGCUGUUCUGACGGUACCCAAAGAAUAAGCACCGGCUAACUUCGUG
rnacentral:rRNA from 1 species